rnacentral:rRNA from 1 species
UACGGAGGGUGCAAGCGUUGUCCGGAAUCACUGGGCGUAAAGGGCGCGUAGGCGGCCUGGUAAGUAGGGGGUGAAAUCCUGCGGCUUAACCGCAGGGCUGCCUUCUAAACUGUCAGGCUUGAGCACGGUAGAGGCAGAUGGAAUUCCCGGUGUAGCGGUGGAAUGCGUAGAGAUGUGGAGGAACACCGAUGGCGAAGGCAGCCCCCUGGGCUAACACUGACGCUCAUGCACGAAAGCGUGGGGAGCAAACAGG